GACGAACGCUGGCGGCGUGCCUAAUACAUGCAAGUUGAGCGCUGAAGGUUGGUACUUGUACCAACUGGAUGAGCAGCGAACGGGUGAGUAACGCGUGGGGAAUCUGCCUUUGAGCGGGGGACAACAUUUGGAAACGAAUGCUAAUACCGCAUAAAAACUUUAAACACAAGUUUUAAGUUUGAAAGAUGCAAUUGCAUCACUCAAAGAUGAUCCCGCGUUGUAUUAGCUAGUUGGUGAGGUAAAGGCUCACCAAGGCGAUGAUACGUAGCCGACCUGAGAGGGUGAUCGGCCACAUGGGGACUGAGACACGGCCCAAACUCCUACGGGAGGCAGCAGUAGGGAAUCUUCGGCAAUGGACGAAAGUCUGACCGAGCAACGCCGCGUGAGUGAAGAAGGUUUUCGGAUCGUAAAACUCUGUUGGUAGAGAAGAACGUUGGUGAGAGUGGAAAGCUCAUCAAGUGACGGUAACUACCCAGAAAGGGACGGCUAACUACGUG
rnacentral:rRNA from 1 species